GCCGGAUUCUCUGGCUUAGUUCCUAGUGGGACUAUCAAGUCUAGCAGCCUGAGUAAUGGAUCUGUUCUUGGAGUACACUCUAUGUUACGAGCUCCAUCUCUGGAGACUGUGUUGCACCAUGGGAUAUCUUCUAGCGUUCCUAGUAGCUUACCUUCUGUAAUGAGAUCUGAAUCAACUGGCAACCAAUCUGGCUUCAUUGACUCUGGUCAUUCACCUUCACAACUGAAGCUGGGUAUCCGGGCAUCUCCAGCUGUUCAUCCUCAUUCACU
rnacentral:misc_RNA from 1 species